ACAAUGACUUCCAGCUGGAGCAGCCCAGCCAGCCUGCGCGCUCACUCGCUUGCUUGCGCUGGGCUUCAGGGCGCCCGGAAUUUGCACUUUUCGUCUGUUAAAACGCGGUCAUUCUUUUGCUUUCAAAUCGAACUUCACGACAGUUAGCAACUUCAAGAACGCUUCCAAAUGGAUAAAUCUUUCCAGAAGAUUUCUUGCUUCAAAACAGCUGCAUUUUUGGAAGAAAGUCCACAACUGACAACUAAGCAAAACCUUCCUGGUGGAUAGCAUAAAUCUGCUUUGUUGAAGCUGCUCAUUUGUCUGAUCUAUGAGUCCAGAAGAUGCAAACUCCCUUCCCAGCUUAUGCAAAAAUACUUCCAGUAAAAACAAGCCCUUUGGCCCUUUUCUUCUGUCAGUCCAGAUUUCAGCAUGUUCUUCGCU
rnacentral:antisense_RNA from 1 species